rnacentral:lncRNA from 1 species
AUGCAGGCUGGUUCGAAGGCGCCAAGGAUCAAGUGAAUGGCUAUUACCUUUCCGUUGACCAAAUAAUUAAAAAACAGGUCGGCUCAUUAUCAUGAUAAAAUCCAGAAUAAAAAUUAGAUUAAUCACCAAAUAUUAGUUCAAAUAGUAUCAUCCCUUAUCUUUUAAAAUCAGGGAUAGGUUUUGGUAGCGAAGGACAUCGAUCAUUUCUUUGGAGCUUGUUUCUUUGAAGUCCGGAUUCCUUGUGGUACCUAUUGUUGAGGUAGAUCCUCCUCACUUAGCCGACAAUCUCUCUUCCUCGCCUCCCUUCUGACUAAACGUGCAACAUUAUGGAUCGAGCCGACUUAAAUGAUGGAAUAUGUCUAAGUCGACAUUUGGCCGACUUGAUUUGAUGUACAAUCCACGUCUGGCUGAUAACGUUCGACAUC